GGAAACUUGACCAAGUGGUUUUUUGAAGAUGCGAUAAAUACAUACAUCUAGAAAGUUAUAAUUGGUAAAGUUGAAGGAGGAAACAAGUGGACAUUAAACGAGCGCAGAAUCGAAAAUUAUGACCCUGCAGAAGACACGUGGACCGGGAUCCCUGACAUGGACUUCAAAUAUGAACACAUAAACACAGAAGUCAUCGAUGAUAUGAUCUUCGUCAUCAGCCGAUAUUUUAGCAAUUGCGACGCAUGUUUCAAGUACAAGGAAAACCGAUGAACCUCUCCAGAACUACUUUUGGUGAGACAACAAUUUUUUGAAAAUAUAUUGCUAAAAGAGGUGCAAGAUGACAAACAUGGAUGUUAGUAGAUCCAAUAUGUCGACUUGUGUCGUCAAGAACCUACCGAAUCAAAGCGAUUACACCUUCAAACACAGAGACAAAUUGAUGGAGGAGAAACGUAAAAAAAUAUCGUCGGUUAGGUGCAUCAGUCUUUCAUGGGAAUAGGGGAAGAUUAAAUGUUGUUGCUUCAUGAACAUCGUUUAGAAAAACGUCAUUACGAAGAGCCCAUUGUGUUACAAGACUGCAGAUUCAGAAGAACAGACUUUCAAAUUAAGGAGUAAGAACACAAAGCUACACUUUCCGUGCAAUCUAUUAACUUUAAAACACAGAAGAGAGAGAUGAGGUUUUUCUUUACCACAAAGAAAAUACGACCGUAACCGCCAUAACAGCUCGAGACUGUUUCUGUGAUGUCAGUGCGAGC